AAGUGCUAACGUUAACCGUCUGUCUGUCUGUCUGUCUGUCUGUCUGUUCUCAACCAAACAGUCAUUCAAACCUUUUAAAGUAAGGACUAACGUUAACUGACUGUCUGUCUGUUCUCAACCAAACAGUCAUUCAAGACCUUUGAAAGCAUUUCCUGGGCAAGUUUGAAUUUCUCUCAGUAAGGACUGACGGACGGCCAUUCACUCAUAAAACCUUUUAAAGGUUAGCACGAAUGCGUCGAGCAUUAUUUUGGAUCUUUACCAUUGAGGAGACUGGCUGACUGUUCUCAACCAAGCACCAUUUACACGCAAAAACUUUAAAGGUUCCACAUUUGAUUAUUAUGUUGUUAGUAUACCACCGUUCUGUUAGUGAAACAUUUAUUCAUAUUUUUGUGUUUUCUCACAGGUAAGAACGAACGCGUCUUUACUAUUGAGGAGGCUGACUGACUUUCAUCUAACAACCGUCAUUAACACAACAAAAACUAAAGAAAUGUUACUACAAGUGGACCUAUUUAUUUACUCAUCAUGCUGUGAGUAGACCACAGUUUUGUCGGUGAAAAAAUAAAAUUUGAGUUUUCUCACUGCUUGGUGUAGACAAAUGUGACCCUGUGUAAUUUGGAAAUUUCAUUGGAAUGUUUAAAUGUCAUUUGAAUUAAGGAACAGUACACUGAUUUUGUUUUAAAAUAUUCCUGUUUGGACAGUCUAUUAAAGUCAUAAAGGAAUACUUGAUAUAUUUUAUAAGGAAUGUGUAAAUCUUAAAUUAGUUUUAAUGUGAAUUUAGACUGAACAGCACACUUUUGUUUUAUGUCUAAAGCAAUGUUUGUAAAAUAAAUGAUUGUUCAAUAAACUGUAAUAAUUUUAC